AGACGCGAUCGCUGCUCAGACUCAAAGGGAUCCUCUUCAAAAUUACCUGUGGACGAGGGCGUGUUCUUGCAGCCGAACCACCAGUGUGCCGUCGGCCUGGGGAAUGGCGGCGUGGCCGUAUCCACCUGUUAGGGAGAACACAUUUUGGCACAAGUGUGGCAACCUUUUUCGCGCAGUGCAUUCUGUGACAUCAGCAGACGUGCGAUAAGGGAUAUCAAGUAUACGACAAGUGGCGCGCAGUUUUCAACGCCAGAGGGUAGCUGUCCGUCUAGCAGCGCUGUGACUUACUAAACUGGGCUGCGGUUACUUUAGUGUCUUCCCUGGAGGCGCUGUAAACAAACAAGAAAAACAAACAAACAAUCAGAAUCAAGUGCGACAGGCACUUAACUCUUAACUGGCUCCAUUGUCCAUUUGGAAGAGCGUUGCGUGGGCGAGCCACUGCGCCAAGGGUGUUCCCGCUUCCGCCUGUGCCACACCCACCUCGCAACUACUUGAAACUUGUGUGUUUGUAUGUGUGAAAACCGCUUGAUUAAAUGCACGUUGAUUGUCACUGGACGCCGGAUCCGGAUCCGCGGGAGCGUGCCGGAUCGGGGAUCAGUAACCGAAGAAGUUAAAGCCGCAGAGCAGCUUGUCGGGUCGCCGUAUGCGCAGGAUGCCGAACUGGAAGACGGACAUAUCGUCGGCCACAUUCAUGUCCAGCGCCAUCAGCUUCUCGGCGGCCAGCGGAUGCCAAGAGCCAAAUGUGCAGGCGGAGUUCAUCUGGAAAUGGAAUUUAAUUUAGUUUAUAAUGAAUCGAGCUAGGCUGCAACCUGGCCACCUCUUUGCUGUAGUAGUGACAGCGUCCGUUGAGUCGUGUGGAGGGCACAUAUUCCACAAAGUCCACCUGGGGACAGUGGGGCAACAACAAGGCCAGGCCUGUAAACAUUCACAGAACUCGAUUAAAUAUGGAUGAAUCAAGCAAAACAAGCAAGAAGUUAGGCAACAAGAAGUCGAAGCAAACCAAUUAGGAUUGUCCUGCAACUGUUGGAUAUAUACCAAUUGGAAUCUCAUUAAUAUUGAUCACUUAUCAAACUAGGAAAAAAAAAUCAAUUAAUUAGAUGGAGAAUUUAAAUGAUUCGCCCUCUCAUGAAUUGUAAAAACAGUUUCAAAACAGGUCACAAAAUGUCACGUUGCAUUGGAAAAAGACUCAAGAGUGCCCAAUGUCGGGGACGUCAGAAAUAUACAGGAUGCAAACUACAUAAUGCGACUGGGAAACCAUCCAAAUCGUCUGGCUCGGCCUUUUAAAGAGGCGUAGAUGGAGGAGACCGAAUGCGGAGGAGAUUGCGGAGGUUUCACCCAAUCGAUCUCUCAGAUCGGUGUAAAAUCACCCUACCCUUGUACAUUUUUAUGUUAGACUUAAAAGUAGAAUAAGUUGUAUUGUAAAUAUUCACAUAAGUUUAAUUAAAGUUGUUCCCAUAAUAACAGAAAAA